ACUCCUACGGGAGGCAGCAGUAGGGAAUCUUCCACAAUGGACGAAAGUCUGAUGGAGCAACGCCGCGUGAGCGAUGAAGGCCUUCGGGUYGUAAAGCUCUGUUGUUAGGGAAGAACAAGUACCGGAGUAACUGCCGGUACCUUGACGGUACCUAACCAGAAAGCCMCGGCUAAAUACRUGCCAGCAGCCGCGGUAAUA
rnacentral:rRNA from 1 species